GAUGAACGCUGGCGGCGUGCUUAACACAUGCAAGUCGAACGAAGCACUUUAUUUGAUUUCCUUCGGGACUGAUUAUUUUGUGACUGAGUGGCGGACGGGUGAGUAACGCGUGGGUAACCUGCCUUGUACAGGGGGAUAACAGUUGGAAACGGCUGCUAAUACCGCAUAAGCGCACGGCAUCGCAUGAUGCAGUGUGAAAAACUCCGGUGGUAUAAGAUGGACCCGCGUUGGAUUAGCUAGUUGGUGAGGUAACGGCCCACCAAGGCGACGAUCCAUAGCCGACCUGAGAGCGUGACCGGCCACAUUGGGACUGAGACACGGCCCAAACUCCUACGGGAAGCAGCAGUGGGGAAUAUUGCACAAUGGGCGAAAGCCUGAUGCAGCGACGCCGCGUGAGCGAAGAAGUAUUUCGGUAUGUAAAGCUCUAUCAGCAGGGAAGAUAAUGACGGUACCUGACUAAGAAGCACCGGCUAAAUACGUG
rnacentral:rRNA from 1 species